AGUCCGAGUCUGAGUCUGAGUCCGAGUCCGAGUCCGAGUCAGAGCCAGAGUCAGUUCUUGAAGAGCCUAAAGAGGCUUCUGGGCUCACUCUUGGUAAGUGAUCAUUUCCUUUUAUUAUUAUAAAUUAGUAAUCAGUUUACUCCUGCAAUUCUGAUGGAAGUUUCUGCUUUCAGCUCAUUGCAUUAGAUCCAGAUUUAAAGGAUUCGAGUCAUUUAUUUGAUCUGUUUCAUACCAGACAAUCCAAGUAAAUCUCCCUGCUGUUUUUCUGUGUUUCAGGAUCUAGGGUGGGUCUUUUUGAAGUGAAAGAACUGAUUGGAGAAGGAAGUUUUGGCAAGGUGUAUCUGGGAUCUCACGUAUUUAAUGAGAGAACAAAGGUUGCCCUGAAGUACAUCAAGAAGCGUGAACAGGACCGUUAUCUCGACGUUGAUGGCCAUUCCAAACCUGUGCUUGCAGAAGUGGCAAUCAUGCUUAAGUUGAUGAAGGACCCACCUUGUCCCAGCAUCAUCACAUUACACCACUGGAUUAAGAAUAAGAACGACUUCGUUCUCUUUCUGGAGUACGCCGAGUCAUCCCAGAACUUGGCUUAUUAUCUCAGAAGUUCAUUGGACAUUGAUGAAAACCACGCACGCCGGUUAAUGCAUCAGUUGAUCCAAGCUGUCAAGUUCUGCGCUGAGCGUGGAGUUUUCCAUGGAGAUAUCCACUCGGGGAACAUCCUGGUGACUCAACCCCAAUCAGAGCUCAAACUGAUUGACUUUGGUUGUGCUCGGCUAAUCACCAGCGAGCCUUUCAACAGCAGUGAUUAUCGAGGUGAGUGGGCAUUUUGUGGGAGUUUCUUUGGUCACAGUAUUGUCUUAUGAAAUGACUGAAUUCUGAAAAUGUCUCUCUUACAGGAGCCUUACUUUACACGCCGCCUGAGGUUCUGAGGGAUCCCACAUUCUUUCCUAACCCGGCAUACGUCUGGACAUUAGGCCUCAUCCUGUAUGAAAUAUUACAUACACGAUUGGCCUUUUACGACACGCAUUCGAUAAUCAUUGGAGACCUCCAGACAGACCUCACCUUAUCUUUAGAUUGCCUGGACCUGAUUUCCCAAUGUUUGGUCCGCAAUCCAGAGAAGCGACUGCAGUUACAACAGUUAGAAGAGCACCGGUGGUUCAAUCCAACGAGCCCAAAUCCUGUGCAGCAGUGAGACAAGAGGAGAAAACACUAAAGAAGCGAAGAGGAGAACAGCAGCAUUUCCAGAAAUUUCACAAGACUGUUAAAGUUAUUAAUUACUCCCUCAUGUCAUUCCAAACCCCUCAGACCUUACUUUUCAGUGUCAGUGUGUUGAUGAGAGCGUUGUCCUGCACUGUAUGUGUGUCCACUGCUGAUGUUUACCUCAGAUGUGCCCACGCUUUGUUUAAAUGAGAGGAAGUCGCGCAGGCCUCUGGGUUAGUGACAACUAAACCACACUGAACUGAACUGAACUUUAACUCCAGUGCUGUCACAGUUUUCUCCUCUAAAGUGUCAUCAAAGAUCUGCUCAACUAUUUUCUACCUCAUUAA